ACAGGCUAUUGUACUGCCUGGAGCAAAUGCAUUACUGACUAUCAUACUGCCUGAAUCCCAAGCAGUGUGGGCCAGUGUGCUGUAACUAAAGGUAAGUAUCUUUGUAGGAAAUAUUAUCAUUCAUAUGAACCAGUGUCGCUCAAUAAGUCAGCCCCCUAAAGAUAUUUGGAGAUCGCUUUGUCCAAUGACUGAAAUGAUGUUCUAAACAUUACAUCGAACACAAAUUACUCACUCAUUCAGUCAUCCUCAAAAAAAAAGAACCCACUUAAAAACCGUUAAAAUGGGAAAAAACUUUUGUACAUAGCUUAAUCGGGUAAUGUACAUAGUUGUGUUUAGUGUACUUGAUUUGUUCUUUUACAGGAGCUUAGGUCAUGGAAAUCUCAGUAAUUGUUGGCACUGGAGCUUGUGGGAGAAAAAAACUUUUGAUAUCUGCAACUGCAACUUCCUGUGAAGUGAAUCCCAGAAAUUCAGUGCUUAUCGAUGCAGCUCAAAUUGUAUCCCAGUUGUCUUCUAGUUAAUGCACUUCAGUGAUCAAUUUCUGAGGGUCUUGGUGGCAAGGUGGACGAUUAUGGCAGAAACAUGCUAUUGGACAUCAUUUGUUGGACACCUCCUGCAGUCCACCGCAGUAUAAUACAAGUGCUCUCCUCCUCUCACCAUUACCACUCUGCGUUUAUCUUCGGAUAGACACUGGCGGCUCAGGACCUUAUGGAAUGGACCAGUAUAUCCCGCAAAAAUGGAACAAAAUGGCAGCAAAGAACUCAAAAGUCGUAUAUGCCAUCUUAAGUCAGUAUCACUGUGGGUGAUGGAGAGUAACACUUCCAUCUAAACAAAUGUUACCUCUAGAACACUAAUACUGCGAAGAACUUGCGCAUGUGGUUUCUUUUUAUGACAACUUGACAAAUCUAUCUUAUAUGGUUAGAUCUGCUGAGAAGGAUGGUAAAAUGUUAGGUGUGCUGGGAAGCAUAAUUCGUGUGGCAAAUCAAGAAAAUCGCCAGAUCACAGAAGCUAUCGGCUGGCUGGAAAGUUGAAGAUACAACAUCUAGAUUGAAUUAAAUGAUGACCUAUAACAGCUACAGAAAACUUUCGCUAUUUCUAAUUCAGGUAUUAACCAUUCCGGAUGUGAGCCACGUGUAACAAGCCCUUUAUGAUAGUAACAUUUAUUGGUGGUAACACCUGAAUGAACUGUCUUGUAGAUACUUCACUAACUGUACCGUAACACCAUCAUGUAUGCGAAACUGAAACUGUAAUUCAAAAUUGAGGUAAUAUAUAUAUUCGCCUUACAUACCACAAAUCUCUGUGAGUUCAACUCCAGCUUAUGCUAUCUUCUUCUCUGUUUGUAAGUGGAAAGCUCUGGCUAUAAGUGGAAAGGUCCGACAGCAACCUGCAGAAGGUCGUGGGUUUCCCUAGAGCCCGGUUUCCUCCCACCAUAAUGCUGGCUGCCGUCGUAUAAGUGAAAUAUUCUUUAGCACGGCGUAAACACCAAUCGAAUAAGUAAAUAAAGACAUACCCCAAAGUAUGGACAUCUCUGAUUUUUGUAAGUACAAUUACAGUGGAUUUUUUUAGUCGCUCUGGCGGGCAACCAAGGCGUUCAACUCUGGUUCACCCCUCUCACCAUGGUUGCCACCCACUUUUUGUGACAUUUUGGUAUAUGAUCAUUUAACGUACAGUACAAUAAAAUGCAAUGACAUAAAAAAUAUCUGAUAAAAGUGAUUUUGUGAUUGGUGCUGAAAUGGUUAAAUACGUUUUGAUCCAUCAGUUAUGUUGCCUUUGAAUACCCUUUUGAAAAGUAUGAAACUAAAUUUUUAGGCAGCCAUAUUCAUUUUCAUUGAUGUACGGAUUGGGUGACAGCCAAAUUACAUUUUUGUGAACAGAAUUUUUCGGACAUGUAUUUUUUGACCAAAUUCAAAGCACGGUCGAUUCAUGAAUGAAAUGUACACUUUAUCCGAAUAUAGCCGACAUAUUUCCUGGAUGAUACAGAAGACGGCUUAUAUCGUAUAUGUAGUAGCAGAUUAGUCAAGUAUGUUUUGUACGGUAUAUUCGACCGUGAAUGUAAUAUUUGAUGUUAUAUUUUGUUGUUGUGUGAGACGACACUGUAGGAUGAAUUAAGUUUUGUAACAGAAGAUAUAAACCAAGAGAAAGGUCGUUAUUGAGCGAUUAUACAGUACGAAGCAUUUUAAUUUUUAUCAUGUACUGUGAAGAGUUCUUUUCCGUCGAGCCUCAGUAAGCGUCAUUUUCAUUUAGCUUGUUUAUGUACGAUUGGUAUAACUGUGUUAUGGCAAAGUAAAUCCAAAGGGCAGAACUCUUAAUCAGUGAUUGUUUCUCCCAAGGAAAGUUCGACCAUGGAAAGACUGCACUUUUGAGGACAUGCAUGCAAUCCUGGCUUUCCCGCCGAGCGAGUCACGCGGGCGCUCAAAUGCGACUUCACCCUUACGGGGUCGUCUCACAUUUUCGAAUGGUCAUUUAUCUAUUUCAAUUCUGUCGAUUUUCUAACCGUUCACGGGUCCCCCA